GACGAACGCUGGCGGCGUGCUUAACACAUGCAAGUCGAACGGUGAAGCGCCUUCCUUUUUGGUGGGUGUGGAUGAGUGGCGAACGGGUGAGUAACACGUGAGUAACCUGCCCCCUUCUUCUGGAUAACCGCAUGAAAGUGUGGCUAAUACGGGAUAUUCUGGGUCUGUCGCAUGAUGGGUCUGGGAAAGAUAUUGUUUCGGUGGGGGAUGGGCUCGCGGCCUAUCAGCUUGUUGGUGGGGUGAUGGCCUACCAAGGCGGUGACGGGUAGCCGGCCUGAGAGGGUGGACGGUCACACUGGGACUGCGCCACGGCCCAGACUCCUACGGGAGGCAGCAGUGGGGAAUAUUGCACAAUGGGCGCAAGCCCGAUGCAGCGACGCCGCGUGAGGGAUGGAGGCCUUCGGGUUGUGAACCUCUUUCGCCAGUGAAGCAGGCCUGCCUCGUUUGUGGGUGGGUUGACGGUAGCUGGAUAAGAAGCGCCGGCUAACUACGUG
rnacentral:rRNA from 1 species